AUGAUCUUGUUGGAUGAAGACAGAGGCAGGAGAGCCGUUUUCACUGGAGCACGAGCGGCAGAGCCCCAACGUCGUCCUGCUCCGAUCGCGGACCGAAAGAGAGCCACGGUGGUAUGCGUCAUCUCCGGCUUCUACCCCGACAACAUCAAGAUCCGGUGGUGGGUGGAAGGGCUGGAGGUCCGGGCCGAAAAUGCCGACAUCCAUACUGACCCCGAGGCGCUCAGCACGGACGGUAACAGGACGUUCAGCAUCACCAGCCGUCUACGCCUGGACGCCGAGGAAUGGAGAUCCAAGUCGGUCGAGUGCCGGGUGGAUCACUACCAGGAAGGGGAGGUGCCCAGGCCUUACAAAGCCGUGAUAUACGUCCAAGAUAUUCCCUGCGGGAUCAGUAAAGAGCAAAAGAUGCAGAGCAUUGAGACCGGACGACUGACGUACCUCAUCCUAAUCUGCAAAAGUAUCCUGUACGCCAUCAUCGUUUCGGUGCUCGCUUUGAAGUCCAAGACCUCAGACUCCAAGAGGUUCGACUGAAACCACGCUUGGCAUCGGAGCGAGAGAGAGAGAGAGAGAGAGAGAGAGAGAGAGCUUCGUCGAAAGAGAGAUUGACCUAGUUGCAUGGUCGGGUCAUCUUUUACGCCUGCCUCUACUGUAAACGUCUGUCUUAUAUUUCUGAGCUCAAAAUGUCCCGGCCCCCACUGGAGGGGAGGGCGACUGUAUAGUCCCGCAUCGCCGAUACAGGCCUUUCGGCCCGACAGAUCCCUGCCGACCAAAGUCUCCGCCCAUUCGGAAAUAUUGUCUUCAUCUCAGCUGGUCCCACAGCGAGAAUUUGAACUGGUUAGGACUUCAGACCCUGGAGCGCAGACUCAUGGGGAGUGGGGAACAUAUCACAGGGAUACUCAAAAUCACGAGUGGGAAUAGAUUAGGGUGAACGGAUCGCGCACAAAAAACGCGGGAGGAAGUCAGCAGGUCGGGCAGCAUCCGCAGAGGGGGAUGAACAGGCAGCCUUCCGGACGAGAGACCCUAUUUUACCAGGACUGGGAAGGGACGUGGGCACGUGGCCAGGUGGUUAAGGCGUCCGGCUAGUGAUCUGAAGGUCGCCAGUUCGAGCCCCAGCUGAGGCGGCGUGUUGUGUCCUUCAGCAAGGCACUUAACCACGCAUUUCUCUAUGUCUGUAUGAGGAGUGGCGGGCCACACAGUCAUGAAAGUGCCUCUUAGGCCUGAGUCGAGUCGAAGGGAAGGGGCAGAGGCCAGGAUAAGAAGAUGGUGAUAGAUGCGGGCAGGUGAUAGGUGAGACCAGGUGAGGCGGGGUAGGUGGGUGGACGCGGGUAAGGGGGACUGCAGAUGAUGGAAGAGGUAAAUGGUUGAAGAAGAACGAAGUCGGUCGGAGAGGAAGGGAGACCUUGGUGUAAAGGCGGUGGACCGUGGUAAAGGGAAAGAGGAGGGGCGGCAGAGGGAGGUAACAGGCAGCUCAUGAGGAUGGGCCCGAAUGCAAGACGGCCUCCUCCCCCUCAGCUGGGCUCGAGGUCAUGGGUUAAGGGCGAAAGUGGAAAUAGUUAAGGGGAACUUCUUCGCCCGGAGAGUCGCCCGAGCACAUAGCGAGCUCCCAGCUGAUGAGGAACUUGGAUGGAAACGUGGACUGGAGGGAUGUUGCGGGGGGAUGUGCGCAGAUGGAGCUAGCCUGCCUGGUCGGCAUGGACAAGAUGGGCCGAAAAGCCUGUUUAUGUGCUGUACUACCCUGUGAGUCUAUUUGCCCGCAUUUGGCCUGUACCUGUCGAGAUGUCUUCUAAGCGUUUCAAUUGACCCGCCUCUACUACCUCUUCGCUCAAUAUCCCCGCCGCCCUCUCUGUGGGAAAAAAAAACAUUGCCCCUGUAAAUAUUUACCCUCUCGUUUAACGCGAGCUUUAGACUCCCAGGUUCUGGGGACUGGAGGGGUGGUAGGGAAGACUGCAACCUUUUCGAAAUCACCUGCAAUUUCUUAUUUUCUGUGUUGCUUAAUAUUACAGUUCUGAAGAUGUUAGUUACUCGAUAAAUAAAACGGAAUUUUCUU